UCAUAAACUAAAUUUAACACAUAAUUUGAAACAGAAAACAACUAAAGGCAUAUAAGUUUUAAUGUUUACAGUAAUAAACACAUAUGAUCACUAGAGAACCAAGCGAAAUAUUUUUAAAAUGCUUUUUAAAAAACUCUAUCACUCAAAAAUGUAGAAGCUAUUUCUCUUUCCUCGAUAUCAAAGAAAGUAAUUAAUUACCCAUAUUUAAUCGACUAAUUAAUUUUUUUUUU